rnacentral:rRNA from 1 species
CAAUAGCGUAUAUUAAAGUUGUUGCGGUUAAAAAGCUCGUAGUUGGAUUUCUGUUGGGAACGACCGGUCCGCCCAUUGGGUGUGUAUCUGGCUUGUUCUCGGCAUCUUCUUGGUGAACGUUGCUGCACUUGACUGUGUGGAGCGCUACCCAGGACUUUUACUUUGAGGAAAUUAGAGUGUUUCAAGCAGGCAUAUGCCUUGAAUACAUUAGCAUGGAAUAAUAAGAUAGGACCUCGGUUCUAUUUUGUUGGUUUCUAGAGCUGAGGUAAUGAUUAAUAGGGAUAGUUGGGGGCAUUCGUAUUUAACUGUCAGAGGUGAAAUUCUUGGAUUUACGGAAGACGAACUACUGCGAAAGCAUUUACCAAGGAUGUUUUCAUUAA